AAGCGCAUCCCCCAAGAGGGUUGCUCAAGUUUUCCAGGAGGGUGUCCUAUGCAUUGCAGGCUUAGAAGCUGACUCAACCUCGGUGAGUAGGUUAGGUAUUAUCCCAGACUCGCAGCCGCCGAAAGCCUCAGAGCCUGGCAAACUCGGGUCGCGCAACGCCGCCGCGUGACAUCAGAGACCGGCUCUUCCUCCAGGCCCAGCUUUGUCUCAUUGUCCCACCCAUGACCGCGAAGGAAGCGUGCAAGCAAAGCGGCGCUCCGUGUUUUAGCCACAGUGUCGGCAGCACGGGGACCCAGGUAGUGCAAGCUUGCAGCCGCUGCGUCCGCCCGACUCGGUCGCUCCCUGGAGACCGCAUAGCUAGGGCGAAGGCGCUGGGGCUCUGCAGCCUGAGCCUGCGUAGACCCUGGGGCGACCCGUUUGCGAGAUCGCGGCAGUGACUUAAGGCACCCCCUGGCAGAAGCGCGUUUGAAUCGGUUCCCGGGCUGCUUCCCAGCCUCUGCCCAGUCUGUGCUGCGCGGCCCGCCGAGGCCGGGAGCCGCGGGGGCUGGAGCCGAGGGCACGCGUGCAGUCGGUGUCUCCGGAAAGCGCGCCCGAGAGCCGCGGGGCCUUCUCUUUUUCCUCUCAACAAGGCAGCGGAAGGCGCCAAGCGAUCCAGGCGGUUUCUCGGAGGGAUCUGAGAGGGAUAGCGGCAUCGACCGCUAUACGACCGUGUGCUUGUUUGACCCGCGUGGGAAGGGCUUGGGGAUCGCGCACUGAAGGUCUCGGAGCGCGCGGGCUACGCAGGGUUCCGCGCUUCUGUGUGUCAGGUACUGUGUCUAUCUUCCUGAAGACAAGAUGACAUUUUCAUUUCAGAUUUUGGCCUUAUAUAGUACUUGAGAAAACUAAAUAAGAAGGAAUGCAUGAAGUUUAAGGACUUUCUCAUACAGGAGAUUCUGGAAUUGAAGCUGAAACAGAUAUCUUAGACUGAAAUGAAGAAAGCAUCUCAGAAAGAUCUUGCCAACUUACUUCUGAAAUAUGGGGAGAAUCAAGCCUGGGAUAUGACCUUCAAAAUCCUCCAGAAGAUCAAUAGGAAAGAUCUCACUGAAAGGGCAACAGAAGAGAUUGCUGACCUUUACUCUUUGCAAUAUAUAAAAAUAAAUAAUCAACAGUUCAGCGUAUGGAAUGUCACAGAUGCCAGCAGAAGGAACUGCCACCAGCAUUAUAAGUCACUGCAAUCAAUCCGUUUCUUGUUCCUCCGUCUUCUAAAGUGGAAAUUAGACUGAAAUUAAGUUGGACUGCAUCAUCAUUGUCAGUGUGGAUACAGGAAGAAAGCCAGCCAAGGGCGCUCUGAUUGGGACAUCUACUGCAUUUUGCACUGGGAUACAUCUUUUCCCAAGGAGGCUUGACAGAGGUCUGUCUUAGGCUCCACAUUCUCUACUUCAUCUGGUUACUCUGGGCACAGCCCUAAACUGGAAUUCUUAAAAUAGUGGAUUAGAUUUCAUUUCUUCAAGGUUCUCAUGAAUCUUCUGAGCAAGAUUUAAAUUCUCCAUCUCUACCUUACUCAGAGUUAAACCCUGCCCCUUGAACUGCUUCUUGGUGACAGCAGAUGCUGGCAAGGAUGUGGAGAAAGAGGAACACUCCUCCAUUGUUGGUGGGAUUGAAAGCUUGUACAACCACUCUGGAAAUCAGUCUGGCGGUUCCUCAGAAAAUUGGACAUAGAACUACUAGAGGAUCCCGCAAUACCUCUCCUGGGCAUAUAUCCAGAAGAUGUUCCAACCAGUAAGAAGGACACAUGCUCCACUAUGUUCAUAGCAGCCUUAUUUAUAAUAGCCAGAAGCUGGAAAGAACCCAGAUGCCUCUCAACAGAGGAAUGGAUACAGAAAAUGUGAUACAUUUACACAAUGGAGUACUACUCAGCUAUUAAAAAGAAUGAAUUUAUGAAAUUCCUAGGCAAAUGGAUGGACCUGGAGGGCAUCAUCCUGAGUGAGGUAACCCAAUCACAAAAGAACUCACACAAUAUGUACUCACUGAUAAGUGGAUAUUAGCCCAGAAAUUUAGAAUACCCAAGAUAUAAGAUACAAUUUGCUAAACGCAUGAAACUCAAGAAGAAUGAAGACCAAAGUGUGGACACUUUGCCCCUUCUUAGAAUUGGGAACAAAACACCCAUGGAAGGAGUUACAGAGACAAAGUUUGGAGCUGAGACAAAAAGAUGGAUCAUGUAGAAACUGCCAUAUCCCGGGAUCCAUCCCAUAAUCAGCUUCCAAACGCUGACACCAUUGCAUACACUAGCAAGAUUUUGCUAAAAGGACCCAGAUAUGGCUGUCCCUUGUAAGACUAUGCUGGGGCCUGGCAAACACAGAAGUGGAUGCUCACAGUCAGCUAUUGGAUUGAUCACAGGGCCCACAAUGGAGGAGCUAGGGAAAGUACUCAAGGAGCUGAAGGUAUCUGCAGUCCUAUAGGUGGAACAACAAUAUGAACUAACCAAUACCUUCUCCCCUGCUCUCCCCCCCCCCCUGAGCUCAUGACUCUAGCUGCAUAUGUAUCAGAAGAUGGCCUCGUCGGCCAUCAAUGGAAAGAGAGGCCCAUUGGUCAUGCAAACUUUAUAUGCCUCAGUACAGGGUAAUGCCACG
rnacentral:lncRNA from 1 species